AGAGUUUGAUCCUGGCUCAGGACGAACGCUGGCGGCGUGCCUAAUACAUGCAAGUCGAACGGUCUUUUCUAUGGAAGCUUGCUUCCACUGAGAAGAUAGUGGCGAACGGGUGAGUAACACGUGGGUAACCUGCCCAUAAGAGGGGGAUAACAUCCSGAAACGGGUGCUAAUACCGCMUAGUUUUUUUGAUCGCAUGAUCGAAAAAGGAAAGACGGCCUUUGUGCUGUCGCUUUUGGAUGGACCCGCGGCGUAUUAGUUAGUUGGUGAGGGAAUGGCUCMMCAAGACGAUGAUACGUAGCCGACCUGAGAGGGKGAUCGGCCACMUUGGGACUGAGACACGGCCCAAACUCCUAC
rnacentral:rRNA from 1 species